AUUAAAACUACAAACCUAGGUUAGUACUAGUUAAGUUCUUUAAAAUUAAGGGAGAUGGCGGUAUUUUAGUCUAUUCAGAGGAACCUGUCCUGUGAUUGAUAUUCCACGAGUUAAAUUACUUAAAUUUUUAGUUUAUAUAUCGCUGUAGAUUGAAUAUUUUUAAAGAAUUUAAAUGUUCACGAGUUUUAAUGAAAGGAAAUCAAGUCAAGAUGUAGCUUAUAUUUAAGAAGAGAUGGGUUACAUUAUUUAUAUAUGUGGUUAGUAAAUUGAAAAUUUACUAUAAAAUGGAUUUGAAGGUAAUUAUUAAUAAAUUUUAGUAAUGAUUCUAGCUCUAAA
rnacentral:rRNA from 1 species